rnacentral:piRNA from 1 species
AUUUCCCUAGGGCUCUACCUGC